CUUCUCUUUCACCGCUCUCCAUCUCCUUAUCUCUGCCAUUUCCUUUUCUUUGGUUAAAACCCUAUAAUUCAUUUUCUCCUUAGUUAUUUUUGUUGUUGAAUUAAAACUUGUGAAAUCAGUUCCAUCAUUUGUGUGUAUGUCUUUGGGCCUCGAAAGAGAAAGGGGUUAACAAACACCAGAACAUUCGGGUUUUAUGCUAAAACUAUAUGAAAGAGCAAAGAGGCGAAGUGCAAAAUAGACGUGGACGAAAGGGUAGUUGUUACACCCCGUGGUUUCGUAUUUUGAAAUUUAUAAGUAUCGAUGGUUGUUUUAAGUAAGGAUACUGGAGUUACCUUCAAGGAUAUAUGAGAUUAUAUGCACCAACCUUAUGGUUACGAGGAUUUGAGUUCAUAUAAUAAGCUAUGGAAGAUUCCGGGAUCAAGCAAAUCGAAGAAAAUAAGUUUGUUGAAAAUUUGGAAAACGUUGACAGAAUUUUGGGUCAACUUUGGAGGGGUAUAUCUCCUAGUAUAUGAGGAGUUUUAAAGUGUUUCCAAAGCCUAAAAUGAAGAUUUUCAAGUCUAGCUUCCAACGUAACAAACCGCUCGUCGAUACGAUAUCGGAGUAGAAAGUUAUGGACGUUACAAGUUAGGCUGACAGCGCAGAAACGCGCGCUACAGUAGCUGCUACAAUGCCAUCGACUUUACCCACCUAUAAAAGGGUCAAGUCCCCUUUUUUUCAUCAAAAAUCAGAUGAAAAAUUUCAGCAACAUAUAGGGGCAUUUAUCUCAUAAAAAAGUUGAGAGAAUUGAGUGAUUCUAGCUAAUCAAGGCUCGGAUGGUGCAUAGUUGUGACUAUAACAUCAUUUUACUGUAGAGUUUGGCUUAAAUUCAAGGUGGAGAAGUGAAUAUAUAGCAAUAUUAUCGGGAGAAAGAUUUACGAGCCUGGGAGGAUAAGCGUUGAGUAGUUAAAGUUAAGGCGACCAAAAAGUUUUCACUUUGCGAUGAGGUACUUCUCUGUUCAUGCCUCUGUUUUCCAUCCUUUCGGACUCCGAUGUCGAACUUCUCAAAGGAAGAAUUUGUGCACAUACUCCGACGUCGGAGCAUUGGUUUCUCUAGAGGAAGUUCGAUAUACAUGAGAGUCAGGCUGCAUAAAUGUGGACGAUGGGAGGCUCCGAUAAGGCAAUAUCUCAGAAAGAAUUGAUAUCGCUUAUCCUACCAUAGCUUAGGCAUAUCAUAUUAUCAGUGAUAUAGCUGUCUAAAGGCUUUCUUGGUAUUUUAUCAUGUCACUAUACAUUUGACUGUAAGAUAGUAGCUACAAGGUUUAAUGAUCAAAGCUCAACUUUCCCCUGCUUUUUA